UACGUAGGUGGCAAGCGUUGUCCGGAAUUACUGGGUGUAAAGGGAGCGCAGGCGGGAAGCCAAGUCAGCUGUGAAGACUACGGGCUUAACUUGUAGACUGCAGUUGAAACUGGUUUUCUUGAGUGAAGUAGAGGUUGGCGGAAUUCCGAGUGUAGCGGUGAAAUGCGUAGAUAUUCGGAGGAACACCGGUGGCGAAGGCGGCCAACUGGGCUUUAACUGACGCUGAGGCUCGAAAGUGUGGGGAGCAAACAGG
rnacentral:rRNA from 1 species